GAAAAUUAAAGACAAGAAUCUUAGUGACAAAAUUGUACAGCUUAGAAUUCCAUAAAUAAGUGUACUAAGACCAACUUUGACUAAUCUCUGGAAGCAGAAAAGUAAGCAAAAGCCACUAUUUAGGAGUCAUGACCUACUUACAUCUUUAACAUCUUUUUAGUUAAACUUUUCUACCUUUAUUAGUCAUUGGUACUUGCCAUAAGUUGAUAAUGUGCUGAGCUUUCAAAAAAUAUAUAUGUAAUUUUCAUUAGUUUUACCUUUUUCCCCAAGAGUCUGUCAACUCAUCAUUUGUACACACACAAUCCGGAUAUCAGAUCUUCUUUUAGCUCAUAUGCAUUCAUCUAUUCUUCACAAUAAAUAAGAGUACUCCAGUGUCUUGGCAAUAUGUUCUAGCAUAGAGCUAUACGUAUAGUGUAGUUCUAUAAACCUAUACCUCAUGACUUACCAAAGUUAUCUUAGUAUCAAUUCCUACCAUAAUGAGGGAGCCUCCCAAAUGACCCUUUUCUAAUCCACAAUGUUCCCUGGGGGAGCUUGCCAGGGUAGGGCUGGCAUGAGGAGUGA
rnacentral:lncRNA from 1 species